CUGGCAAUGGCUGAAAUCUAGGGGUUCGCCCACCAAACAGGAUCUGCUCCUAUGCCAGCUUUGCCAGCCUCUGUUUCUGGAUCAUAUGGAAGAGGUCCUGCAGCAAGGGAUGAGAAAAUUGAGGCUCACAGAGCUGAGCAGACUUGAAGGCAAUCAAACAGCUAAUGGAUCAUCCCCAUGCUACCAAGGGAGUGGAAACUCAUCUAUCUAACAGAGUCACACGGCAUCACCUCCAUUGUAUUUUACUGAUGGAAGCAGCCACAGCCCUCACAGAUUCAAGGGAAGAAGGACAUAGAUCCCACCCCUCCCUGGAAAGAGUGCCAAAGGAUACUGGGACCAUGCUUCUAAAC